rnacentral:lncRNA from 1 species
UUAUGUCUGGCCCCUGUCUGUACAUAGUGGUUGGAAAGUAUUGUUUAAACGCUUAUAUAAUAAUAAUAAUAAGACUAAUAAUUAGUCACGGUAAAUAUUAGACUAAAAUCUAGUGGUAAUAAUACUAGGUUUCGUCGAAGGAAAUUAUUUUAAAGUAAACGAAGCGCUGUCCGAGUACCGAGUCACCACCUUCUCAGGUGAGUGCAUAGUCCCUUUCAUCUUACACAUAGAUAUGAAGUAUUUUAAUAUAAAUUACGUGCUGUGUGUGCAUAUUGUCUGAAUACUUGCUGUCUAUGCUGGGUGAAAGAUUUUUAUACAUGUUUUAAAUGAUCUAAAGUGUAUAUGUAUUUUAUAUCUACAAAAUGUGUUGGGUAAAACAUGGGUAGAUGAAAUAGUUGUUCUGUGAUAACACGAUGGAAGACAUCAAUGUUGUUAGUGAUCCAGUCAUCUAGUGGAGUAUAGAUGAUGACUAUGGACAAUACUUGACAGUCCAGUGGAACGCUAGCAGGCUCGUAACCUGUAGGUGUUUUUGAACUAGGUGCUCAUUAGGUAUCUUUGAACUGAGUGUGUUCACUAGGUAUCUUUGAACUGAGUGUGUUCACUACGUGUCUUUGAACUAAGUGUGUUCACUAGUUACUUUUGAACUAAGUGUUUACCAGAUGUUUUGGACUACGUGUUCACCAGUUGUAAUCUAUAAGCUUUGGUAACGAUGGACUUCGUGCCGAUUCCUUAGGAUAAUCCUUAGGAAUGAAUGAACGAGAAAUAGCUGAUUCUUAGGGUAGAUCCUUAAGAGUAAAGAAGAUAAUGGGGAUGGGUAAUUGGGUUUAAUUGCUUGAUUGUUUAAACAUAAUAAUUAUAUUAUUGUGGGUUGAAAACCCUAUGUACUCACCAGGUUUCCCAACCUGACCCACUCAGUUUAUUUAUAUCACAGGUGUUGAUAUGAAGUCACAUUACACUGAGAGAUUAAAGAGAUGUAGAUCACUAGUUUAAAUAAAUGUAAGUUCGGUUUAUGUGUAUGUUUUUGUAUUGACAAUGACAUCCCAAUGUUUUAAAAUGAAUAAAAUACAUCUCUUCGAAGGUGUUUUAAUAACGUAUUUAUCGUGUUUUUCUGGGAACAAAUUCUGCAACAUUUUUAUGAAAAGAAGUAUUCUGACUUUUAUCUAGCAUAAACAAAAUCGGUCUUUUCUGGCCGUGAAAAUGAGGAUGUCACAGUUGGUAUCAGAGCAUUAGUUUAAGCGAACUAGGAAUAUGGAUUUAUUUCUAGACUUAAACUUAGAAUGCUAAGCGAUGAUUGUGAGGUGUGAGCACUAGCUUAUUUUAGGAAUUAUGCCUAAAUUGCUUUUAUGUGCUAAAUGAUUUGUUAUGCUAUAGUUUGAUCGGAUCUAUGGUCUGUUGCCGACCGGAUCUGGAAACCUUAUGUGUUUAGGAUUCUAAACGUACGAAUACGAUNAUGUGUUCAGAAUUCUAAGCGUAUGAUUAUGAUAUUAGAACUAGCAUGUAACGUUUCAGAGUAAUAAGGAGAUUUAUACAUCUAUCGUAAAUAAGAUCUUUCCUAUCUUAAAUUCUCUUCUCGGUACACUAAACGUCUGCUUGGGUGUACAAAACAAGAGGAAGAUGACAACCUGAGCCUAAGAAUGUGAUGGGUCAUGCAUCGGUCGUUGCGCCUGCACCCGAACCUAUCAUAAUGGCAGAAGUUCAGGAAGUGAUGCGAACCAUGAUAGACUGAGAAAAUAGAGGAAAUGAGAUGGCUUACGAUAGUGAAUGAUACCUAUCGAAAGAAAUCAUAAGAGAGGUAUCUUGCCUUUAGAAUACGUCUGAUAAAAUAGCAGUACGUCUAGAGAAGUACGGUACAUUUGAAUGUACACAAUUGAUUGGCGGGAUGAUAGAACGAUUGGUGUAAUUCCUAAUGUUUUCCUAUCAUCUGGAAUUUCCAUCACCAACCGAGUUGAAGCAGAAUUGAUGAUUGAAGAUACGUAUGGAAGAAGUCCUAGUAGAGUCUAGGGAAAUUUUUAUGAUUAUUUGGACACACUCGUAUGUGUUAAAUUGUUUUGUGAUUUUAGGACUUGGGGACUGCGAGACAAUACUUGGGACGAGUAUGAGUAGGUGUGAAAGGUAGUAGAUGCAUAUACUACCGGAAGCACAGGACUCACGCUUGGAUCAGGGAAAGUCACAAAGUUACCAAGAAGCUAGUAACUGAUUUCGUUUUAUUCAAGUAUGUCAUUACCAUCGUUUCGGUAAUGACUAAAAAGACUAUUGAUAUUCCGACCCUAGUGGUCAUAUCAAAUCGAUCCCGACUACGAUGAGUAUGUUACGUGGUUCAGAGAACCAAGUUCGAUGUAGCACCGACUCAAUCCAGAAGAAUUAAUCAAAGUAACCAGUAGAGGUAUCACGAAAAGUUGCUUGUAGCUAAAAAUGCUACAUUUAAAAAAAAUGUGAUUAUAUCACAUUAGAACAUGAAGGAAGGUAUAGCCUGUUUUGGAAUUUAACUCUAAGAGACCUGAGUCUAAACGAGCAUCACAUGACGAUAGGUCAUGAUUUGGAGUCUAACCUGAGAUAGAAAGCAGGUGCACAAUCAAGUACUGCUUACAGUCAAUAAGUCUAAGAGAUAGACUUGAAGGAAUAUAGAAGUUAUAAUUAUUACCUAGGAUGAAGAGAUGACGCAUGGAGUCAUUAUACGAGCCCUGUUUCGUUGAUGAUUCCGGGACGUAAUCAUCCUAAGGGGGAGAUAAUUGUAACGCCCGCAGAUCCGGGCUAGUCAAUUUAGAGGCAAUAGGGGUCGAAAACGACUUUUCGACAAAAGAUUAUUUAGAAUAAAUAAUCUUAACCAAGUUGUAGAAUAUGUCACAAGGUUUCCGUACAUAUAAAGAACGCCGAAAUCCGAGUUAUAACGAAGAAGUUAUGACCCGUCGAAGUUUCGCGUCGGAACCGGCACGGCACCGGGAAGCGUAAAUAGUAAAUUUAUGAUAGAGCGAGAUUUAGAUUUAGCGCUCUAAACGAAAGUCGUAGAAUAUGUUAAACUAAGAACUUCGAUAAAAAGAACGCCCAAAUCUGACUUCGUAUGAAGAAGUUAUGAUUUUUCGAAGUUUCGGAUUAGCGGUGUACAGCCCGAAAUUCGAAUUUUAGAUCGAUUGAUUUUUAGCCGACACAACCUAAACAAGAAUCGAAGAUCUCGUUAUUAGUAGCGUAACGAUAAAAAGACAGACGAAAAUGGACAUCGGAUAAAGAAGUUAUGAGAUUUUAACGGACCAAUCCUGUCCCGGCCUGUUAAAAAUAUAACUUUAAAAAUAAAGUCAAAAUUAGCCGACGGAGUCUAAACGAAAGUUGUAGAGUACGUCUCCACCUACGCGUGGAUAUAAAUAACGUCAAAAACGGAGUUCGUAUGAACGAGUUACAAAUUAUAAUAGCAUAUUUACGUAUUAAAAUAAAGUAUAAAUCAUAUAUACGUACACAUAUAUAUACAUAUGUAUAUAUCAUUAGAAAGGUAUCGACGAUGCGGUCAUUAUAAGACUAAUGUUGAGUUCUUUCGACAUUAGUUUAGUACAAAUAUCAUUAAAUCCAUUUAAAAUAGUAUUAUAAAGGGGUGUUUAGUUGUUUAUAUAACUAAAAGGUCAUUAAGUAAUUAUGGAGGGUAGUUUUUGAAAAUUCAAUUACUAUAAAUAAGAGGCUUGGGCUCUCAUAUUUCUUGCACCAUUCUCUUGAUUCAAGAGUCUUUCUCUCCUUAUCCCCCGAGCAUUUCGGUCCCUCGUGAUUCGACUUCUCUUUCUGUAGUUUUAGUAUAGUAAGGUGAGCGCUGAAGCGCUGCACGAAUCUUUCUUAGAAAGAUUCAGCGACGAAGUUCUGCCCCUACAGAGCCCGACUCCUAGCUAAAAUCCCCUUGUAAGUAAGUUAUGCUUACCCUAUUUUAAAUAUAGUUUAUAUUUAAAAUUAGUAUUGUUAUUAUAAAUUUAUAAUAAAUAUUUGAGCUAUUAUUAUGACUUAUAUAAGUGUCGUUAUAAUAUCUUUUUAACUACUCGCGGUACGGGGAAUCUGGUUUAAAGGGCCGCAUAGGGUUGUUGGAUUUCAGAAGUGCUAUAUGCCAAAAUGGUCCUGCCCUCCGGUGUUUUAUGUCUGGCCCCUGUCUGUACAUAGUGGUUGGAAAGUAUUGUUUAAACGCUUAUAUAAUAAUAAUAAUAAGACUAAUAAUUAGUCACGGUAAAUAUUAGACUAAAAUCUAGUGGUAAUAAUACUAGGUUUCGUCGAAGGAAAUUAUUUUAAAGUAAACGAAGCGCUGUCCGAGUACCGAGUCACCACCUUCUCAAGUGAGUGCAUAGUUACUUUCAUCUUACACAUAGAUAUGAAGUAUUUAAUAUAUAUUACGUGUUGUGAGUGCAUGGUCCCUUUCAUCUUACACAUAGAUA